UGGGGAAUAUUGCGCAAUGGGCGAAAGCCUGACGCAGCAACGCCGCGUGAGUGAUGAAGGCCUUCGGGUCGUAAAGCUCUGUCGGAGGGAACGAAUGCUCCUGAAGUUAACAGCCUCAGGAGGUGACGGUACCCUCAAAGGAAGCACCGGCUAACUCUGUGCCAGCAGCCGCGGUAAUACAGAGGGUGCAAGCGUUGUUCGGAAUCAUUGGGCGUAAAGGGCGUGUAGGCGGUAUGUUAAGUCAUGUGUGAAAUCCCUCGGCUCAACCGGGGAACGACGCAUGAAACUGGCAAGCUAGAGUACCAAAGAGGGUGGUGGAAUUCCCGGUGUAGCGG
rnacentral:rRNA from 1 species